rnacentral:lncRNA from 10 species
CGGCACCUUCCCCUUCGCUCUUCCUCCUGCUCCUGCCCUGGUAAGAAGUGCUGCUUCCCCUUUGCUUUCUGCCAUGAUUGUACGUUUCCUGAGGCCUUCCCAGCCAUGCUUCCUGUGUGGCCUGUGGAACGGGGCAGUGGCAUCCUCAUGCAAGCUGGUCUACUGGUGGCUGCCCCUGUGACCUGCUUCUGAAUGGCCAGGCAGGAAAAGUCUCCCACUGUGUUGCAUUUAAAGAAAAGAAAAAGAUGAAUUAAGUAAAAAGCUCUGCAAACAACUGAGUGUAAUUAUUGGAUAUGUAUAAACUUAUGCAUAUUUUCCUUUUUUUAAUUAUACUUUAAGUUCUAGGGCACAUGUGCACAACGUGCAGGUUAGUUACAUAUGUAUACAUGUGCCAUGUUGGUGUGCUGCACCCAUUAACUCGUCAUUUAACAUUCGGUAUAUCUCCUAAUGCUAUCCCUCCCCCCUCCCCCCACCCCACAACAGGCCCUGGUAUGUGAUGUUCCCCUUCCUGUGUCCAUGUGUUCUCAUUGUUCAAUUCCC